CCUACGGGGGGCAGCAGUGGGGAAUAUUGCACAAUGGGUGCAAGCCUGAUGCAGCCAUGCCGCGUGUGUGAAGAAGGCCUUCGGGUUGUAAAGCACUUUCAGCGGGGAGGAAGGCGGUGAGGUUAAUAACCUCAUCGAUUGACGUUACCCGCAGAAGAAGCACCGGCUAACUCCGUGCCAGCAGCCGCGGUAAUACGGAGGGUGCAAGCGUUAAUCGGAAUUACUGGGCGUAAAGCGCACGCAGGCGGUCUGUCAAGUCGGAUGUGAAAUCCCCGGGCUCAACCUGGGAACUGCAUUCGAAACUGGCAGGCUAGAGUCUUGUAGAGGGGGGUAGAAUUCCAGGUGUAGCGGUGAAAUGCGUAGAGAUCUGGAGGAAUACCGGUGGCGAAGGCGGCCCCCUGGACAAAGACUGACGCUCAGGUGCGAAAGCGUGGGGAGCAAACAGGAUUAGAUACCCGAGUAGUC
rnacentral:rRNA from 1 species